rnacentral:rRNA from 1 species
UACGUAGGGCGCAAGCGUUAUCCGGAAUUAUUGGGCGUAAAGAGCUCGUAGGCGGUGUGUCGCGUCGGCCGUGAAAACCUGCAGCUUAACUGUGGGCUUGCGGUCGAUACGGGCAUCACUGGAGUUCGGCAGGGGAGACUGGAAUUCCUGGUGUAGCGGUGAAAUGCGCAGAUAUCAGGAGGAACACCGGUGGCGAAGGCGGGUCUCUGGGCCGAUACUGACGCUGAGGAGCGAAAGCCAGGGAGCGAACGGG